CCUUCGAUAGCUCAGUUGGUAGAGCGGGGGACUGUAGAUUUAUAAUUGUGAUCCCUAGUCGCUGGUUCGAAUCCGGCUCGAAGGA
rfam:Nematostella vectensis strain CH2 x CH6 NEMVEscaffold_1093_Cont34989, whole genome shotgun sequence.